GAUUAACGCUGGCGGCGUGCAUAACACAUGCAAGUCGAACGAAGUGGCGGACGGGUGAGUAACGCGUGAGUAACCUGCCUUAGAGAUGGGGAUAGCCUCUGGAAACGGAGAAUAAUACCCAAUGCUCUAAGAUGGACUUGCGUCUGAUUAGCUAGUUGGUGAGAUAAAAGCUCACCAAGGCGACGAUCAGUAGCCGGGUUGAGAGAGUGUGCGGCAACAGUGGGACUGAGACACGGCCCAGACUCUACGGGAGGCAGCAGUGGGGAAUUUUGCACAAUGGGGGAAACCCUGAUGUAGCGACGCCGCGUGAUUUAGAAGGCCUUCGGGUUGUAAAAAUCUUUUGUAUAGGAAGCAGUACUAUACGAAUAAGGACCGGCUAAUUACGUGCCAGCAGCCGCGGUAAUAC
rnacentral:rRNA from 1 species